rnacentral:rRNA from 1 species
CGUGUAGGCGGCCAUGCAAGUCGGAUGUGAAAGCCCUCGGCUCAACCGGGGAAGUGCACUCGAAACUGCAAGGCUAGAGUCUCGGAGAGGAUCGUGGAAUUCUCGGUGUAGAGGUGAAAUUCGUAGAUAUCGAGAGGAACACCGGUGGCGAAGGCGGCGAUCUGGACGAUGACUGGCGCUGAGACGCGAAAGCGUGGGAGCAAACA